rnacentral:rRNA from 1 species
GGACGAACGCUGGCGGCGUGCCCUAACACAUGCAAGUCGAACGGAAGUUUUUCUUCGGAGAAACUUUAGUGGCGAACGGGUGAGUAACGCGUGAGAAACCUGCCUCUCAGUGGGGACAACAGUUGGAAACGACUGCUAAUACCGCAUAAUGUAUCCGGAGGGCAUCCUUUGGAUACCAAAGCUUUAUGUGCUGAGAGAUGGUCUCGCGUCUGAUUAGCUAGUUGGCGGGGUAACGGCCCACCAAGGCGACGAUCAGUAGCCGGUCUGAGAGGAUGAACGGCCACAUUGGGACUGAGAUACGGCCCAGACUCCUACGGGAGGCAGCAGUGGGGAAUAUUGGGCAAUGGGCGAAAGCCUGACCCAGCAACGCCGCGUGAAGGAAGAAGGCCUUCGGGUUGUAAACUUCUUUUAGCAGGGACGAAGGACGUGACGGUACCUGCAGAAAAAGCAACGGCUAACUACGUG